rnacentral:rRNA from 1 species
UACGAAGGGUGCAAGCGUUACUCGGAAUUACUGGGCGUAAAGCGUGCGUAGGUGGUUUUGUUAAGUCUGUUGUGAAAGCCCCCGGGCUCAACCUGGGAAUGGCAAUGGAUACUGGCAAGCUAGAGUGCGGUAGAGGGUAGUGGAAUUCCUGGUGUAGCGGUGAAAUGCGCAGAUAUCAGGAGGAACACCGGUGGCGAAGGCGGUUCUCUGGGCCUUACCUGACGCUGAGGAGCGAAAGCAUGGGGAGCAAACAGG